CAUCCGUUCCGAAAUAAGUUUUUUGAUAUAAUGUUUUGACUCUUCGUCUUAUUUGAAAUUUUUUUGUGAUUAAUAUUUUUAUUCUUACAAGAUGAUACACAUAAAUAAUACUUUAUGCAUGACUAAUUUUUUUUAGUUUUUAUACAAAUUUUUUCAAAUAAGACGAAUGGUCAAAUGUUGGAUAUGAAAAA
rnacentral:pre_miRNA from 1 species